AUGAAUUGCUUAAGUUGGAACUGUUGAGGGGCGGGGAACCUUCGCACAGUUCGUGAUCUUGUAGCACUUGUGGGUGCUCAUUCCCCAAAAGUGGUCUUUCUGUGUGAAACUAGACAACCAAAAGAAAAGAUGUAUCGUCUUCGUAAUCGUUUAGGCUUAGUUGGUUUUGAAGGAGUUAGUAGUGAUGGUCGUAGUGGUGGUCUAGCUUUAUUUUGGCACGAGUUUGUA
rnacentral:rRNA from 1 species